GAUGAAGAACGUAGCAAAAUGCGAUAAGUAAUGUGAAUUGCAGAAUUCAGUGAAUCAUCGAAUCUUUGAACGCACAUUGCGCCCCCUGGUAUUCCGGGGGGCAUGCCUGUCCGAGCGUCAUUACAACCCUCAAGCUCAGCUUGGUGUUGGGCCCCGCCGCCCCGGCGGGCCCUAAAGUCAGUGGCGGUGCCGUCCGGCUCCGAGCGUAGUAAUUCUUCUCGCUCUGGAGGUCCGGUCGUGUGCUCGCCAGCAACCCCCAAUUUUUUUCAGGUUGACCUCGGAUCAGGUAGGGAUACCCGCUGAACUUAAGCAUAUCAAUAAGCGGAGGA
rnacentral:misc_RNA from 1 species